UACAGAGGGUGCAAGCGUUACUCGGAAUUACUGGGCGUAAAGCGUGCGUAGGUGGUUUGUUAAGUCUGUUGUGAAAGCCCCGGGCUCAACCUGGGAAUGGCAAUGGAUACUGGCAAGCUAGAGUGCGGUAGAGGGUAGUGGAAUUCCCGGUGUAGCGGUGAAAUGCGUAGAGAUCGGGAGGAACACCAGUGGCGAAGGCGGCUCACUGGACCGGUUCUGACGCUGAGGCGCGAAAGCGUGGG
rnacentral:rRNA from 1 species